GACGAACGCCGGCGGCGUGCUUAACACUGCAAGUCGAACGAGAGCGUAGAGAAAGCUUGCUUUUUCUACAAUCUAGUGGCAAACGGGUGAGUAACGCGUAAACAACCUGCCCUACGGAUGGGGACAACAGCUGGAAACGGCUGCUAAUACCGAAUACGUUCCGAAAGUCGCAUGACUGUCGGAAGAAAGGAUGGCCUCUAUUUAUAAGCUAUCGCCGGAGGAGGGGUUUGCGUCUGAUUAGCUAGUUGGAGGGGUAACGGCCCACCAAGGCGACGAUCAGUAGCCGGUCUGAGAGGAUGAACGGCCACAUUGGAACUGAGACACGGUCCAGACUCCUACGGGAGGCAGCAGUGGGGAAUCUUCCGCAAUGGGCGAAAGCCUGACGGAGCAACGCCGCGUGAGUGAAGACGGCCUUCGGGUUGUAAAGCUCUGUUAUACGGGACGAAUAAUCUUGUGGUUAAUACCCAUGAGAA
rnacentral:rRNA from 1 species